ACUUACAUGCCUGGCUAUGGGUGACAGCUCUUCUCCGGACCUUACUCCCCACAAGCUUUCUCAUCCUCCAGCCAGCUGGACUGGACUUUUCCACACAGUGUUCUCAGGGUCUCAAGAGAGCGAGAGCAGAAGCUGCCAGGCCACUUGAGGUCCAGACUUGGAACUAACACCAUCACUUCUACUGCAAUUUAUUGUUCAAAGCAGGACAUUAAGCACCCCUAUUCAAGGGGGUAGAGAAAUAGACUCUACCUCUUGAUGGGGGAAGCAAAGGCACCUGAAAACAGAAGUGGGAGAAAUCUGUGACCGUUUUUUGCAGUCUUUCACAAGGAGAAAAUAAUCUUACCUGGACAAAGAAGAGGCUUCACCCCAGUGUUCUUUCAACUUUAACAUGAACAUGAAUCACCUUAGGAACUUGUUACAAUGCAGGUUCUGAUUCAGUUGGUCUGGUGUGGGACUGAAGGUAUUUCUAACAAGCUCUCAGGUGAUGCUGAUGCAGCUGGUUCACAGAGUACAGUUGGUGAACCAAGGUUCUAAUCACUGACAUGGGGUAAGUCCAUUCCCUUUUCUCUACUAAGUGGGGCGAGUGCUGGCCUGCCCAAUAAUGUACUGGUUCUUCCAAGGGUAGAGAGCCACCCAGCCUAUGCCUAUAAUUUAAGAUAUGCUGCCAGUGAACUCAGUUAAUGCAGUAUGUACAUUAUAGGUCUACUUUAAGAACCACAGUGGCCUGACACGGAUCACAUACCUGCUGGAAUUACUUGAUUCUCUGUUAGCUCUGUGUCUGUGUUUUCCAGUGUGGUUUUGUGACCACACUGGGAAAGAUCCACAAAUGUCAAUAUUAAAAUGUUCACUUUGACUUUAAAAAAUGCCAUCAUUGCUUUCUAUAGGAUUUUAAAAUUAGAUUUUAAAUAGUUUCACAUUUCAAGCAUUAUUAUAACAGAUUGCUUAGGCCAGAUGGAUGGUUCUCUGAGGUCUUUACCAGAACUGGUAAAGCUUGUCUAAUGGUAUUCAAUCACAACUCUCUCACAUUUUAAUUCCUCUUUCAUCAGAGGCUGUGUGUACCAUCAUGUCAGGAAGGGGCCCAAGCUUGGGGACAGAUACUCAGAUAACAGAAACCUGGGUUAAAAUUUUUAAAGCCUGGGGCUCUGGUCACUAGAAACACAGAGUAUCUUUCUCUUUCUGAUAUGAACUGAUGAUGCAGUUUGUAAUACAGCUAAGGUGAAUGUCCUGAGUGUGUGUCUGUUUCUGGCUGAUGUGGGAGCAAUAAGGCAUUUAUACACAAGAUUGGCCAAUAAUUAUAGCUGUUCAUUUGUUUUUGUUUUUUUUUUGAUGUCACCAAGCCAUUCUAUUUUUGUCCUCCCAAAUCUGAUCACCUGGGGGAAAUUGAGGCAAUGCAUGUAGUUCUUCUUCCGAUAGUAUGGUGCUGCAAAUUUGAAAAAAAUGAUAAGAAACACAGACAUAGAUGAUGGGCCA
rnacentral:lncRNA from 1 species